GACGAACGCUGGCGGCGUGCUUAACACAUGCAAGUCGAACGGAAAGGCCCCUUUGUUGGUACUCUAGUGGCGAACGGGGGCGUAACACGUGAGUAACCUUCCCUUGACUUCGGGAUAACUUCAGGAAACUGGGGCUAAUACCGGUUAGGGAUACUUGCUUCAUGGUGGUGGUUGGAAAGCUUCGGCGGGUUUUGAUGGACUCGCGGCAUAUCAGCUUGUUGGUGGGGUAGUGGGUUACCAAGGCUGUGACGGGUAGCCGGCCUGAGAGGGUGACCGGCCACAUUGGGACUGAGAUACGGCCCAGACUCCGACGGGAGGCAGAAGUGGGGAAUAUUGCACGAGGGGCGGAAGCCUGAUGCAGAAACGCCGCGUGCGGGAUGACGGCCUUAGGGUUGAAAACCGCUUUCAGAAGGGGCGAAGCUUGUGGUGACGGUACCUGCAGAAGAAGCACCGGCUAACUACGUG
rnacentral:rRNA from 1 species